GGGGGAGUUCCAGAGCGGUCAAAUGGGGCAGACUGUAAAUCUGUUGUCACUGACUUCGGUGGUUCGAAUCCACCCUCCCCCACCA
rnacentral:tRNA from 2 species